AACGAACGCUGGCGGCAGGCCUAACACAUGCAAGUCAGCGAGACCUUCGGGUCUAGCGGCGGACGGGUUAGUAACGCGUGGGAACGUGCCCUUCUCUGCGGAAUAGCCACUGGAAACGGUGAGUAAUACCGCAUACGCCCUUCGGGGGAAAGAGUUUAUCGGAGAAGGAUCGGCCCGCGUUAGAUUAGAUAGUUGGUGGGGUAACGGCCUACCAAGUCUACGAUCUAUAGCUGGUUUUAGAGGAUGAUCAGCAACACUGGGACUGAGACACGGCCCAGACUCCUACGGGAGGCAGCAGUGGGGAAUCUUAGACAAUGGGCGCAAGCCUGAUCUAGCCAUGCCGCGUGUGUGAUGAAGGUCUUAGGAUCGUAAAGCACUUUCGCCAGGGAUGAUAAUGACAGUACCUGGUAAAGAAACCCCGGCUAACUCCGUG
rnacentral:rRNA from 1 species